rnacentral:rRNA from 1 species
CCUACGGGCGGCAGCAGUGAGGAAUAUUGGUCAAUGGCCGGGAGGCUGAACCAGCCAAGUCGCGUGAGGGAAGACGGCCCUACGGGUUGUAAACCUCUUUUGUCAGGGAGCAAGGUGCAGGUCGGGACCUGCUGUGAGAGUACCUGAAGAAACAGCAUCGGCUAACUCCUUGCCAGCAGCCGCGGUAAUACGGAGGAGGCGAGCGUUAUCCGGAUUUUUUGGGUUUAAAGGGGGCGCCGGCGGGGGCACAAGUCAGGGGUAAAAUUGCGGGGCUCAACCCCGCUCCGCCGUUGAAACUGUGUCCCUGGAGUGAGCGAAGGGUAGGCGGAAUGCGUGGUGUAGCGGUGAAAUGCAUAGAUAUCACGCAGAACUCCGAUCGCGAAGGCAGCCUACCGGCGCGCAACUGACGCUCAUGCACGAAAGCGUGGGUAUCGAACAGGAUUAGAUACCCGAGUAGUC